AUGGCUCACCAAGGCAGUGAUACGUAGCCGACCUGAGAGGGUGAUCGGCCACACUGGGACUGAGACACGGCCCAGACUCCUACGGGAGGCAGCAGUAGGGAAUCUUCCACAAUGGGCGCAAGCCUGAUGGAGCAAUGCCGCGUGAAUGAAGAAGGUCUUCGGAUCGUAAAGUUCUGUUAUCGGAGAAGAACACGUCGAGUAGUAACUGGCUCGACCUUGACGGUAUCCGACCAGAAAGUCACGGCUAACUACGUGCCAGCAGCCGCGGUAAUACGUAGGUGACAAGCGUUGUCCGGAUUUAUUGGGCGUAAAGCGAGCGCAGGCGGUCUUUUAAGUCUGAUGUGAAAGCCCACGGCUCAACCGUGGAUGGUCAUUGGAAACUGGAGGACUUGAAUGCMGAAGAGGUAAGUGGAAUUCCAUGUGUAGCGGUGAAAUGCGUAGAUAUAUGGAGGAACACCAGUGGCGAAGGCGACUUACUGGUCUGUUAUUGACGCUGAGCUCGAAAGCGUGGGGAGCGAACAGGAUUAGAUACCCUGGUAGUCCACGCCGUAAACGAUGAGUG
rnacentral:rRNA from 1 species